rnacentral:rRNA from 1 species
ACAUGCAAGUCGAACGAAGUAGCAAUACUUAGUGGCAGACGGGUGAGUAACAUGUAGGUAUCUUCCCUUUGGUGAGGAAUAACACGAGGAAACUUGUGCUAAUACCUCAUAAGUCUUUACAGAGAAAGCUUUAUGCGCCGAAGGAUGAGCCUGCACUUGAUUAGUUUGUUGGUGAGGUAAUGGCUCACCAAGACUUUGAUCAAUAGCUGAUCUGAGAGGAUGAUCAGCCACAUUGGGACUGAGACACGGCCCAAACUCCUACGGGAGGCAGCAGUAGGGAAUAUUGCACAAUGGAGGAAACUCUGAUGCAGCGAUGCCGCGUGAGUGAAGAAGGCCUUUGGGUUGUAAAGCUCUUUCGUCGGGGAAGAAAAUGACUGUACCCGAAUAAGAAGGUCCGGC